ensembl:lncRNA
GGGCAGGGCUGGAGGCCCUACAAGGAAGAUGGUAGCUGUCGUGGGCUUUUUCCAGCUUGACUGAGGGGCUCAACAGGUACCAUCUUCUCCGUCUUGGCUUUUCUAAGAGGUGCGUCUAGGGUGCAGGGACCUGGAAAGUCCGCUUUUUGUGAAUGCUUUGCAGGUAAAGGUCCUCAUUAAGUGGUUAUAGGCUUGAGUGAGAGUUGGACUGUAAAGGAGGCUGAGCACUGAAGAACCAAUGCUUUUGAACAGUGGUGUUGGAGAAGACUCUUGAGAGUCCCUUGGACUGCAAGGAGAUCCAACCAGUCCAUCCUAAAGGAAAUAAGUCCUGAAUAUUCGUUGGAAGGACUGAUGCUGAAGCUGAAACUCCAAUCCUUUGGCCACCUGAUGUAAAGAGCUGACUCACUGGAAAAGACCCUGAUGCUGGGAAAGAUUGAAGGCAGGAGGAGAAGGGGACGACAGAGGAUGAGAUGGUUGGACGGCAUCACCAGAGAUGCCAAACCUGGGUACCUGGCAUGGUUUCUCCUUGGAGACGACAACUCUAUGCAACCUCAUGGACUGUAGCCCUCCAGGCUCCUCUGUCCAUGGGAUCGUCCAGGCA